rnacentral:tRNA from 1 species
GGGGAGAUGGCCGAGCGGUUAAAGGCAGCAGACUGUAAAUCUGCCGACGAAUGUCUACGGAGGUUCGAAUCCUUCUCUCCCCA